UACAGAGGGUGCGAGCGUUAAUCGGAAUUACUGGGCGUAAAGCGCACGUAGUCGGCUUUGCAAGUCGGGUGUGAAAUCCCCGGGCUCAACCUGGGAACUGCAUCCGAGACUGCAUUGCUAGAGUAUGGGAGAGGGAAGCGGAAUUUCUGGUGUAGCAGUGAAAUGCGUAGAUAUCAGAAGGAACAUCAGUGGCGAAGGCGGCUUCCUGGACCAAUACUGACGAUCAGGUGCGAAAAGCCGUGGGGGAGCAAAACAGGAU
rnacentral:rRNA from 1 species